UACGUCGGGUGCGAGCGUUGUCCGGAAUUACUGGGCGUAAAGAGCUCGUAGGUGGUUUGUCGCGUUGUUCGUGAAAACUCACAACUCAAUUGUGGGCGUGCGGGCGAUACGGGCAGACUGGAGUACUGCAGGGGAGACUGGAAUUCCUGGUGUAGCGGUGGAAUGCGCAGAUAUCAGGAGGAACACCGGUGGCGAAGGCGGGUCUCUGGGCAGUAACUGACGCUGAGGAGCGAAAGCGUGGGGAGCGAACAGG
rnacentral:rRNA from 1 species